rnacentral:lncRNA from 1 species
CGACCCACGACCACCAGCCAAUUUGGCCGGGUCGCGGCGCCGCCGACAGACCGCCGAACAGACAGAGUUUCCCCUGUACGUCCUAGGCGUAGCAAUCAAUACAAUACGAGAGGUUCCAAACAGGAACAGUAUUCACUCACAGAUUGCAUAAGGAAGUAUCAAAAACAUAGACUACUAAGUUAUUACAGCAUUCAACUUAAAUGCAUUUUACACCAUAACUUUUCUUUUACAAUCAACUUCCAAAUACAAUCAUAAUUAGCACAUCAUUACUUAUUACAAUUUGAUACAUCUGGAUAAAGUUUGUCUUUAACCUCCCAAGCUAGACCACCAACUCGGGUACGGCUAUCUCAGUCUUUGGGUAGGACUCUAUCUGCAGAACUACGUCCUCGCCUUGCGCCGCCGCGCCGCACACGUGUGUACCUGUACCCCCAAAACAGCAACACGGGGGUGAGAUUAUUGUCCAUAGUCCUCAGUGGGUUUAGCCACCCAAGAGAACAAGCUCAGCCAACAGGUCUAACGAGGCACUGCAACAUGUUAGAUCAACAGUAUACAACAGAUAUAUAUAUUCAAUUGAAAUACAUGUCAUGCCUCACGAAAUGCAAUAUGCAAU